rnacentral:rRNA from 1 species
CUACACAUGCAGUCGAGCGGAACGAGUUAUCUGAACCUUCGGGGGACGAUAACGGCGUCGAGCGGCGGACGGGUGAGUAAUGCCUAGGAAAUUGCCCUGAUGUGGGGGAUAACCAUUGGAAACGAUGGCUAAUACCGCAUGAUGCCUACGGGCCAAAGAGGGGGACCUUCGGGCCUCUCGCGUCAGGAUAUGCCUAGGUGGGAUUAGCUAGUUGGUGAGGUAAGGGCUCACCAAGGCGACGAUCCCUAGCUGGUCUGAGAGGAUGAUCAGCCACACUGGAACUGAGACACGGUCCAGACUCCUACGGGAGGCAGCAGUGGGGAAUAUUGCACAAUGGGCGCAAGCCUGAUGCAGCCAUGCCGCGUGUGUGAAGAAGGCCUUCGGGUUGUAAAGCACUUUCAGUCGUGAGGAAGGUAGUGUAGUUAAUAGCUGCAUUAUUUGACGUUAGCGACAGAAGAAGCACCGGCUAACUCCGUGCCAGCAGCCGCGGUAAUACGGAGGGUGCGAGCGUUAAUCGGAAUUACUGGGCGUAAAGCGCAUGCAGGUGGUUUGUUAAGUCAGAUGUGAAAGCCCGGGGCUCAACCUCGGAAUAGCAUUUGAAACUGGCAGACUAGAGUACUGUA